rnacentral:rRNA from 1 species
CCUACGGGGCGCAGCAGUGGGGAAUAUUGCGCAAUGGGCGAAAGCCUGACGCAGCGACGCCGCGUGAGGGAUGAAGGUCUUCGGAUCGUAAACCUCUGUCAGCAGGGAAGAACGGUCACUGUGCUAAUCAGCAGUGAAUUGACGGUACCUGCAAAGGAAGCACCGGCUAACUCCGUGCCAGCAGCCGCGGUAAUACGGAGGGUGCGAGCGUUAAUCGGAAUUACUGGGCGGAAAGCGCUCGUAGGCGGGAUGUCAAGUCAAGGGUGAAAUCCCCGCGGCUAAAGUGGGAACUGCCCUUGAAACUGGCAAACUGGAGUGUGUAAGAGGAUAAGUGAAAUCCAGGUGUAGGAGUUAAAUCCGU